GGGACCGGGAGCGGGCGCGCGCGCGCGAGAGAGAGGGAGACGGCUGAUGGCGCCAUCUUGGGAGUGGCAAAAACCAGGCCGCCCGUGGGUGGGAGCGGGGCCUUGGCCCCAGGCAUGGCGCUCUUCCGGGGGUUUCUGGGGCUCGCUACGAGCGCGGAGCACUCGCCUGUCGGGGAAUGUGAUGAGUGAUGUGAGUCUCGGUCACGGGACGGCAAGCUUCAGUGAGGCCUGGGCUGCCAUGUUGAGGGCUCUGACUUUGGCGGUCAUUUGGGGAAGGUUCUAUAUUUUGGACCGCCCAGCCACCGUACUGGGGCCACGUUCCCAUCGCCGCGUCCGGGCCUGGAGUGUAAGGGUUUUUGCACCCCUCAGGGUGAGGUGAAGCUCCUGAGCCCCGGGGUGGCCCCAGGGAGAAGCGGGCCGAGGCUGGGCGCGAGGGCGCCGGAGGGGCCUGCGGCCUGGAUCCCUGGCUGGCCACGCCCCUUCCGCCAGCCAGCGGGGCCCUCCGGGGGCCUCAGGGCGCGGGCCUGCGUCGGCCGGACCCCGGCGCUGCCCCUGCCCGGGUCGGUGCCGGGGGCGUCCGAGGCCUGCCGGCCGCCGUGGAGGCCCGGGGAGUGGGCAGCGGGCCUCGGGACGCCGCCUUGCCCCGCUGCCGCCCGUCAGGAUGGCGGGCGCGCAGUGUCCCGGCCCGUGUGCGGGCAGGCUGUGCGGCUGAGGAGGACCCGUCCAUGACCUUGCAGGCGGAUCCUGCCCUCCCAUCCCCCGUGAGCGACACCUCGGGGAUCACCGCCUUGCACCGCGGUGCUGUUUGGGGAGAAAUCCCACGAGUGACAGCCCUCUGCACAGCCGGGUCCCGGAACAAGGGGCGCGGGGGAGACGUGGUGGGCCUGCAGCCAGAAGAGCUCCGGUUUUGUGUUCUCGUUAAAGCUGCCCGACUCUCUCGGGUCCGAAGUCCGCGAGGGCAGCCCAGAGCCGCCGCCGCCUGCUCCCAGGCCCUCGCGCGGUCCUGCGGGCUGCCCCUGCUCCCUGGUGGGGUAGGAGGCAGCGGAGAGGAGUACUGUCUAGGCCGAAGGUUUCCUUCCUUCCUUUCGUUUUUUAAAGACUGGUUUAUUCGAGGGAGUUACAGAGAGAGGGGUUGAAAGGUCUUCCACCCACUGGUUCACUCCCCAGCUUAGGCCGGAGCCAGCCGCUCCAUGCGGGUCUCCCACGUGUGCAGGGGCCCAAGCACUGGGGCCGGGCUCUGCUGCUCUCCCAGGCCGCAGCAGGGAGCUGGCCUGGAAGCGGAGCAGCUGGGAUUCAGCCUGGUGCCCGUACGGGAUGCUGGUGGUGCAGGCGGCGGCUUUACCUGCUGCACCGCAGGGCCGGCCUUGAGGCUGCCUUGUAGAAGCAAGCGUCCCAGAGAGGGUUAAAGUGCGCCUGGGAGGCUGAGCUCCACUUCCCAUCAGGCUCCAGAUGCCCUGGGCGGGGCGGUUCUCCAGUUGCUGCACCCAGGAGCCUGUGCUGUCUUUCUGCCUUCCGUAAAUCCUGUCCGGUUGUGUUCUGACUUGUGCAGAGAUGAGAACCAGGACUGGGCCCAGCUGCAGCUCUUUCCAAGGGCCCUUGAUCCCCGCAGCACUCCGGCCCUUCCACCCAUGUGUGAGGCAGAGUGGACAGUGAGAGAGAGAGAGAGAAAGGUCUUCCUUUGCAGUUGGUUCACCCUCCAGUGGCCGCCACGCUGGCGUGCUGUGGCUGGCACACCGCGCUGAUCCGAUGGCAGGAGCCAGGUGCUUCUCCUGGUCUCCCAUGGGGUGCAGGGCCCAAGCACUUGGGCCAUCCUCCACUGCACUCCCGGGCCACAGCAGAGAGCUGGCCUGGAAGAGGGGCAACCGGGACAGAAUCCGGCGCCCUGACUGGGACUAGAACCCGGUGUGCUGGCGCUGCAAGGCAGAGGAUUAGCCUAGUGAGCCACGGCGCCGGCCUGUCCCUCUCUGUCACUCUGGCUUUUCAAUAAAUAAAUUUUUUCUUUUUAAAGCGCUGCUUGGUGUCAGUUGCCCAGGUUCAAAUCCGACUCCACUACUUAGAAGCUGUGGACUCAGACCUCUGGGCCUGAGUCCCUGUCUGCGAGAUGCGAUGAGUGUUGGGGCUCCAUCUUCUCACGCCCACAGCCACGCCGCAGGUUUCGUCUGUUCAGAUCGUCCGUGGAGAGAUGGAGGUUGUCGGUGCUUCCCUGAGAGGCUGCGCCCUCUGAUGGCGGCGGCAGUGGGGCAGCUGGGAAGUGCCUUUUUCCCCGCAGCCUUGGGUCCCUCACCUGAGGCCGGUCUAGCUUCUUGAUGUAGGCACUGAUCGCUGUGAACACGGCUCCUCAGCCUGCUGUUGCUGUGUCCCACAGUUAAUGUGCUGUGUUGUCGUCUGUACUCGUUUCUCAGGGUGUUGUGACUUCUUGGUGACUCACCGUUGGUUCAGGAGCGUGUUGGGUGGGCUCCCCGUGUUUGUGUCUUUUCUGGAGUUUCCCUGGCCACCGUCGCAAGAUGGCUCCCUUCCUGAGCGCGGUCUUGCAGCCUGUCAGCUGGCAGGUGGGGCCCACAGGGAAGGGGUAAGAAUGCGGCUAGUGUAGUCGGUGACAGGUGUCACAAGAGCGGUGACCUGCCAGCCACAGUCCACAAGCUGCCGCCCAGGCCUGGGCUGAGAGGAGGGAGCAGAGGCGAAGCCCCGCCCCCACCCAUCAGGCCUGGGAGUGGGCGCCCGUCUUCUGCGUCGCCCGCUGUGUGACUUUGGGCCUGACAGAGGAGCCGGUGCACCUCCCAGGGCCUGGAGUGUCGCAGGGGAGCCUUGACAAGGAGUUUUGGUUCCUCCUCCUCAAUUGUUCCCCUUCCUGCCCAGCCCCCUCCACUCCCACUUCGGGAAAGCCCCUGGUUUGCUGCCCAGUUGUGCUCCAGAAGCUGGGCUCGCGGGGAGGGGACCCACGAUGCAGUGUGGCAGACCUGGGCCCAUGUGGCCUGGUGUGCUGCCCCCAGGGAGGCUCCUGGGGGAGGGCCAUGGGGUGGACUGGUGAAUGACGUGAUGGACAGCUGCUGGCUCCCUGUAGGGCCCAUCAGGUCCUGCUGCCCUCCUGGGGCCAGCCUGGCUCUGCCUGCAGUGGACUACGGUCCACAGGCCCACCCUGACCGCCCAACACGGUACUGCCCUGGCUCCCUUGGAGAACAACAGCACGAGCUGAGCUCAGGCCUGGGCGGCUGUGGGUGGGGUUCGCUCCCCAUUGGUGGAUUUUGAUUCGUUCAUGUUUUGUUGUUUGUGUUCCUUCUGCAGAUCUGGCCUGUUUAGUGGCCGGAAUAGUGGGCCUGGGCCUGGGCAUGGCAAGGAGGGGACAAGAGGCCAUGUCCCAGGCUGCCAGGGAAGUGUGCGGUGGCGAGGAUGUGCCCAGGCUUACCCUGGGAGUGAACGGUGGCAACAGAAAGGACUCGGCUGGGCCCGCCUGGAGCUCCUGACCUCCCUGCGUCGAGGAACUCGGGAAGUGUGUGGAAGGCCAGCCCACUGCCCGGGACACCUCCGCCACAGCAGGGCACACUGUGUUAGGUUCUUGUUUUGUUUGUUUUAAGAUUCAUUCAUUUAUUUGAAAGGCAGAGGCAGAGAGGGAGUGGUCUUCCAUCCACUGGUUCACUCCCCAGAUGGCUGCACAGAUCCAGAGCUAGGAGUCAGGAGCUUCUUCCUGGUCUCCCACGUAAGUGCAGAGGCACAUGGACCUGGGCCAUCCUCCGCUGCUUUCCCAGGCCACAGCAGAGAGCUGGAUCGGAAGUAGAACAGCCGGGACUCGAACCGGCGCCCACAUGGGAUGUCAGCACUGCAGGCGGUGGCUUUUCUGCUGUGCCACAGUGCCUGCCCCUGUUUGUUUGUUUGUUUUUAAUUAAAGAUUUAUUUAUUUAUUUGAAAGGCAGAGUGACAAGGAGAGAGAAAGCAAGCACACUUCCAUGUGCCCGUUCACUCCCCAGAUGGCUGCAAUGGCCAGGGCAAGGCCAGGCCAAAACCAGGAACCUAGAAGUCCAUCUGGGUCUCCCACAUGAGAGACUUGGCCAUCUUCUGCUUUCCAGGCGCAGUAGGAAGGAACAGGAUCAAAGUGGAGCAGCUGGGACCCCAAUGGUGCUCAUAGGGAUGCUGGCGUCACAGGCAGGAGCUUAACUGUGCCAAAAUGCUGGUGUGCUGGUGUGUCUGUCAUUCAAGAAAUUGCCACAGGGCCCGGGGCUGUGGUACAGUAGGUAAAGCCGCCACCUGCAGUGCCGGCAUCCCAUAUGGGCGCUAGCUUGAGACCCAGCUGCUCCAAUUCCGACCCAGCUCUCUGCUGUGGCCUGGGAAAGCAGCAGGAGAUGGCCCAAGUCCUUGGGCCCCUGCACCCACCUGGGAGACCUGGAAGAAGCUGCAGGCUCCUGGCUUUGGAUCGGUGCAGCUCUAGCUGUUGCGGCCAAAUGGGGAAUGAACCAGCGGAUGGAAGACCUCUCUCUCUCCCUCUCCUCCUCUGUGUAACUCUGACUGUCACAUAAAUAAAUAAAUCUUUUAAAAAAAGAAACUGCCGCAAAGGUAGCAGCUUAGAAAAGCACAAAUAUAUUAGCCCACAGCUCGGUGGCUCCGAAGGCUGGGCAGUUCUCGUGUUCUUGCGCACUCACCAGGCUGAGAUACAGGCACGGCAGGGCAGGGCUGUUACCUGGAGGCGGGGGAGGAACGUUCCCAAGCCCCCUCAGGGUAUUGGCGAGGGGUCUGAGGCUCCCGUCUCCUGCGGCUGCCCACGGCUCUACCAAAGCCAGCGGAGGAGACGUUCAUGCCUCACACUUGCCUGACCUCCAGGAAAACAGGUGGACAGGGCCCAGAGUGUUGGCCCAUCUGUGUGCCCCACACCCAGCCCUGCCCAGAGCCGAGGAGGAGGGGCGGACACCUCUGCCUCAAGUCGGAAGGGUAGGGCUGUGUGCAGAUCCCCUUUGGGGCCAGGAGGCUGAAGGGCCAGCAUCACCCACCAGCAUCAGAGACUGAGGUGCGCCCGAAUCCAGGGGCUGUAUGCGGCCACGUUGGUGUAGACGCCGGGACGGUUGGGCAGGGCGCAGCCCUUGCCCCAGCUCACCACGCCCACCAGGACCCAGUGCCCAGACUGCACGCAGGUCAGGGGUCCUCCAGAGUCCCCCUGCGAGAGAAGAAGGACCAGCCUAGGUCCCAGUCCUCCCCCGACUUGGGAGUUUUCCUGACCCCAAGCCCCUGGGCGGGUGACUGGGACAGAGUGUAGAGGUGACACCUGGGACCUGGGUUCUAGGAGGUGGGGUGCUGAGUACAGGGGUGUGGACUCCAGAGGCUCAGAGGCGAGCGCACACCUGGCAGGCAUCCUUGUGGCCUUCCUGGUAGCCGGCGCACAGGGUCCCGGGCAGCACGAUGCGCUCGGCCUGGGGCACCCCAGUGCCCAGGUGGUAGAGGCGGUCACAGUCCUGCGCGUCCAGCAGCGGCACCCUCACUCCCUGCAGGGGCCGCCACGCAGGGAGCGGCACUAGGGGCAGAGGGGGGCCUUCUGAGAGCCAUAGGCCAAGGUAUGAGGCUGGGGUCCGUGGCAGAAGCUGAGCCUGAGAGGCCGGCCUGCCAGGCGGGUCUCCCGGUUCCAGCUAGGAAGGCUCAGUGUCCAGAAGUCGCGUGGGGUCCCAGAUUGGGGCUGGGAUUUCCAGUCCGGUGGAGGAGUGGGAGGCUCCCCCAACGCCCCCAGGUCUCACCUCCUGGGUGGAGGCUGCCCCAGCCGGUGACCCAGCACGGGAAGCCGAUGGGCAGGCGGGCGCCGGGCUCGGGCAGGCAGACAGGCUGGACGCGGGCACUCACGGGCACCGGGCGCCGCAGCUGCAGCAGCGCCAGGUCUCCACGGGCCGCGUCCUCGGAGUAGUCGGGGGCCAGCAGCACCCGCAGCACAGGAGCGGAGAGCGCGCGGGGCGAGGUGGGGGCCAGGCGCAGCGCCCCCAGGCGCACACGGUACUCGGACGGCAGCACCCGCCUGCAGGAGCAGAACUGCUCAGCAGCAACGCCGCGACCCCACCCGCUCCCUGGGAUCAGCCCCGCCUCACACCUCCACGCGCCCACUGGGCCCGCGCGCUGGCCGCAGACCUGGGGAAGCAGUGCGCCGCCGUCAGCACCCACUGCAGGGCGAUGAGCGCAGCCCCGCACACGUGCGCCCCCCGGCGCUGGAUGCUCGCCUGCCAGGGCCACUCCCCUUCCCGGGCGUCUCGGCCCCCCACGAUCCGAUUGGGUAUGCGAGGCUGGCCGCAGGCUGCGAGGAGAUGAGGGGCAGUGAGGGUGGCCCGAGGACUGAGGCCUGGGGCAGUGCGGUGGGAGGGGGAGCCCCCCUCCUUACCUGCCCGCCCUGGCGACUCGGCAGCUCCUGGAGGGAAGCAGGAAAGGUUGUGGAUUAAGGUUUCCGCGGCAGGUCAGAGAUUACGGAGGGCUGACCUAGUGCCAGGCUUUGUGCAGAGAUGUGAGUUAACUCGCCCAGAGCACUGCGGGUGCCGUGGGCUUAAACCCACGGCACAGAGCAGCACACAAGGGUUCGGAGAGCACCAGGUCAGUGGCUGCCAAGACGGGAGCCCUUGGAGUCGACCGGAAGGCCCAAGGGUGCUGUCCUGGAACCAAGGCUCUGAGCCAGCCACACCCCACCGUCCCUCCACCCGGCCCCUGCUCACCUAGCACCACCAGGAGCAGAACCCACAGGUGCGAAGCCCCCUCCAUUCUGCCUUCGGAGCUGGGAAAGGACAGGGAUGCCCAGACCUUGGGCUGUGGGCUGGAGCCUCAGGAAGAAGGCGGGAGUGCCCUUACAUUGGGACACAAGCCCCUCACCUCUCCCCACCCCCGCCCCCACCCCACCCCCAGCCCGCUCUCAGUUCCUGAUUGGUCCUGGACUGUGCCUGUGACCCAGGCUCCAGACCCUUUCCUCUGCCUGGGGACCACCUCUGCGUGUGCAGCCCCUGCCCCCAUACUUGGACAUGGGGCAAAGGCCUCUCCCGUUUCGGCUGCUGAUACUUGCCCUUGUCCAGCUGGCAGCCCUGGACAGCCUGGCGCCCUCUGUGCUUACUGGGCCUGGGGGGAGGCUUGGGGGCUUAAAGGGCAGGAGGGCGGAGGCCCAGCCAGGGGGUCAUUGCCGGGGCGGGGCUGCGGCUUCACCUGACCAGCCUCAAACAAAGAGUCUUUGAACAGUGCUACAGGACGGACCCCCGGGUGUCUGAAGGAAGCCUCCCUUGGGACAAGGCACUGAGAAGGGGGCGGGGACUGUGGUCUGGCUGGUCUCUGAACCUGCUCCUGCUCCUGCUCCCGCUCCCGGCAGGGUUGGGCUCUGGGGCUGAGCCUGGCCAGCCCAACUGGCACAGAGACCCCAGGCUGGCCAGGGCUCACAGUGGUUCACAGUGGACAGAUUGUGGACUUGACCAAGGACAGGAGCAGAUAUGACCUUGAGAAACAAUCCACCCUCUGUUUUGGGGUGGCCAGGACAGAGCUAGGCUGAGCAGCCAGGGACAGGGGACAGGGACUGCCGAGCCGUGGGAGAGCUGGAGCCAGGAUGGAGCCCGGGGCUGGCAAGUGCCCUCCGGUUCCCCCAACUACCCAGAACUUUCUCUGACCAAUCACCCCCUCUCACUUGCUCUCUGGGGGCCUCCCUGCCUGGGCCCUGGACUUGAGAUUGAUGUCUGUUGAUGACCCUCACGAGACUGGAGCCGGGUCCAUGCCCGGAGGAGGCUUAAACAACAGAAUUCAUUUCUCGUGGUUCUGUUGGGGCCCGAGGGGCCCAACCCAAGAAAAGACUGGCAAUCGGGAGCUGAGAUGCAGCUAAGGGUUCGCGAGGAGUAAGAUUGAUCCGCCAGGUGAAAUUACACACGCAGGGUGUGUGCAGAGAUCUCAGGGCAGUUUUCCAGAAGGGAAGGCGGGAUCUCCAGGGGUUUGAGGGCUGCCUGACACCGGGACAGGUGUCGGGUUCAUGCUGGGAGUGGGCGUGUCAGCGGGGCCCAGGGCCUGGUGGAGACGCAGUCAGCAGCCAUGUUGGAGGUUUUCAGCUGGCGCCAGUCUGGGCAGUGCCGACUUGAGGCUGCAGGCCCGGGGUGGGGGAGCGGGGGUCUUAGAGGCAGCUCGGGAAAGGGUGUGGUGACUUCCUCCAGCUCUUUCUGGCCCCUACCUGUUUCCUUACCUGGAACAGAUCAAGGGGCCAGUAAAGUGGAUUCCCUUCCUAGGCAGGGGGAAAAAGAGGCUGCGCCUUCCCUCUUCUCCCUUAGAAGCUCCGCGGCUCCAGGGCAUCGGCAGGAGAAUCUGCACUCGGUCAGCCCCGGGCUGCAGGUGGGGGGCGCUCAGGCUUCACACCUGAGUUUUUGGAGGGGACUUAGUGUUCAGAUCUGACAGUCACCAGUGGGCAGAGCUGGCCCUGAGGACUUGGGAGUGAGUGAACUGGGCUGCACAGGCAGCAGGCAGGGCCGAGGCUGAAGGCAAGUGAGAGGGAGGCACAGCUCUGAGCUCGCUGUCCUGCGCCAGGAGCACAGCCCCACCCCCAGUCUGCCCUGUCCCCACUGACACCCGGAGCCACUGCCAUGCUCGGAUUGUCUGUUCCUUGUUCAUUUCUGUCUUUGCAGACACAGAACCCCUGCGACCCCAGCCCCCACUGCUCCCCAGGGGCUGUCACACUGGCCCCGCUCGCUCUCCUCCACCCGUCCAAUUACAUCGGCAUCACGAACCUCAGACGUUGCCAGGGCCCCUGAACGCACUCUGUUCCAAAAUCACGUGGACUCAGUCAUGCCUCGGACGCCCCAGCCCCUGGCCUCAAGCUGGCCCUGUGUGAACCGGCCCAGUCUCGCCAGACAGGAUGCCCUGGCCGCCAACAGACCACACACAGGGCAGAGGCAUGGACAUCCUGUACAGCUGAGAGGAACUGGUGACUCCACCCCGCUGGACGGGUCCUGCCCAGAAGGAGCCUGCAGCCCAGGACCCUCACGGGGAGCCAGGCAGGGAGGACACAGACCUGCCGCCCCCAAGUGGCGCCGAGCGGCUCCCAGGCUCCCACAGCCUCCCCUGCCAUCUGCUCCAGCUCUGCACCUUCCCGGGCCCUGGGACCACCCUCAGCACGAGCAGGGCGGGAUUCCAGAGAGAGCCAACCGCCCCACCUGCUCUGUCCUGGGGGAGCCAAGGCCGAGGGCCCAGCAGGACGGCAACUCAGUCGCCCACGGGGGGACCUCCUCGUCCCUGCAAACGCAUCAGCAUUGCUGCCUCCCCUGCCUCUUCCUCCCCGUGAUUCCCGGGAACCACCUCCCACUGCACACCUGCACCCCGUCCUGAGCCAGGCCAGCCUCUGGGGCCCAUGGCAGGAGCAGCGGUGUCCGGGGCUUCUGUGGUGGGGACAGGGGAAUGGGGCCUCGGGAGCAUGUGCCCCCGCCCCCAGCCACCUGGAGCCAGGCCUGCGCUGCCAUCUUUAUCUUCCUGCCUGCACGCACUGGAGGGGGCUCUCCUGGUUCAACCAGAGCGUGACUGUCGGGGGACAGAGGUUUGGGAGUGGGGGGACUGUCUUGGGCUGGAUGGACUUGGCUGAACAGAGGGAGUUGCUCAUGAAGACGCUGGCUCUGCACAAACCUUAGAGUGACAGCUGGGGUGCCCACACAGGUUUAUUAGCAAAUGAGACACAGAGGAUAGGAGCCAGGUCCACAGGCAGUCCCCACCCCAGCCCUGGGUGCCUACAGCCCCGGGGAAGGGGCUGGCGCUGGGGCACCCAGCACACCCUCAUAGGUGUGGGGGGUGGGGUGGGCGGCUCAUGCUGCCCACAGAACCCAGGAAGCACAGCGCAGAGCCAGCAGCAGCAGAGUAGGGGAGGGGUCCGGCUUGGGCACACCAGCCACCAACUUUAUCCACUUGAAGUGCUGGCUGACAUUGGUAUAGACACCGGGCCGGGUGCGUAGCCCACAGCCCUCUCCCCAGCUCACGAUUCCGACCUGGUACCAGAUUCCAUCGAUGUCACAGACCAAGGGUCCCCCUGAGUCGCCCUGGGGAGCAACGUGGUGAGCAUGGCCUGGGGCAGGGAGGGGGGGCGGGAGAGCAGGAGGUGCAAGUUCCCCUCCCAUGCAGCGGGCACGCCUCAGCUUCUGCAUCUGCAAAGUGGGCCAGCAGCACCCGGGCCUGGCGUGAGGAGGAGGAGAGGACUGUGGAAGGAGGUGGUUUGCCCCUGCCACUGCUCUCAUGCAGGCACUGCAGCUGGGGGCGGGGAGGGGGCUGGGACGGCAGGGAGUGGGGUUUACUCACACCACAGGUGUCUGCCCCGCCGCCUUCUCGGCCAGCACAGAUCAUGUCAUCCCAGACAAAAUAGCGUACAGCGGGCAGUGAGUAGAGGUGGUUGCACCAGGUGUUGUUGAUGAUGGCGAGCUGCACUUCCCGGAGGUUGUAUGGAGGGGGUAUCUCGGCUGGAGGUGGAACAAAGAGCACCCUUCGCCUGUCCUGUGCCAUCCAGGGCAGGGGAGAGCGAGGGUCCCCCGACACUCAGUUCCCCAUUGGCACAAAGAUGAUGGCCCCUGCCUGAGGGUGCCUGGACUGGCCAUGCAAUUUCCCCCAACCCUGGCUUUUGGUGCCCACGGUCCCUGGCGAGGCCCAUGUGGGAUCCUGCCCUGCAGGUGGGGGCCCGAGGAAAGCAGGUGCAAAGAGCUCCCGGGCCCCAGAGGGCACCAAGGGGCUGCUGGGCCAGCUGUGGCGGGAACAGGGUGUCCAGGACAGCGCCCCCUCCCCCCCAUGUUGUGCCGGGCUCACUGCCGUUGUCUGAGAUGAAGCCCCAGCCAGUGGCCCAGCAGUCGUGCCGGUGCUGGAACAUGGCAGUGGAGGAGAGCACGCAGACGGGCCGGGUGUUUGGGGUGUAGUACACGCGGGAGGCCAGCUGCAGCAGGGCGAUGUCGUGCCGCAGGCGAGUGCUUCGGGGGUGAAUGAUGAUCUUCUUCACUCUGUAUGAGACGCCUAUGUAUGUCCUGAAGCGCUCUGGAAACGACCCACUCCUCAGCUGACCCACCUGGACCCGCCAGCUGUCCACAUCUGCGUACCUGGCAGAGGAGAGCGCUCUCAGGCCUGCGCAGCAGCGCCACCCCCUGGGCACAUGGGGCCAUGCAGGGAGGUGACACUGACUGGGGGUUGCCACACCGGCCUUCCCACAAGCCACCAGCAAGUCCAGCUCACAGACUGCCACCACCACGUCCAGAGCCUGGGGACCCGGAGGGGACGGGGCUUCCUCCCCUCCCCCUCAUCUCGUCACCGCACAGAGCUGUCCUAGGACAGGGACACUGCGCCCAGCCCUCCAGUGAGCCUCUGUGCAGCCAAAAAGGAGCUGGCAGAGGAGGCCACCAGGGUGGGCACUGGGCAGGGUGGAGGCAGCUGGGUGCCCAGCCCCCAGCCCACCUCAGCUCAUGCCUCCCCCACCUUGGUCCACACCUGCUGAGGGGGAAUCGGGGUGGAAGCCCACCUUGCGGUUUGUAAGGCAAAAGGACGAUGCCCCCAAGGUGCAUGGGAUUGUUCUGAAAGAACAUUCUGGAACAACAUGCCCGGGGUUCCCUCCAGGGAAUCUCUUGUGGGUGUGAGCGUGCAGGCCCUCCUUGAGGCUGUGGGGAACUCCAGGUCUCCAUGGCCCUGGCGCCAGAGGAGAGGCCAGCUGCGGGGGCCCCAGCCUGAGCACUUCCUCGCCCCGCCCCCAGCGCGCCCCCCACUCACUUUGCGAAGCAGUGCGCGGCUGACAUCACCCAGCGGCGGUUCAGCAAGGACCCGCCACAGACUUGUUUCUUCUCCCUAAUCAGGCUGACCAUCCAGGGCCAGCGCCCGCGGGCCGACUCCACCCCGCCCACGAUCAGCGGCUUAUUUUCCCGCUCUCCGCAGGGCUCUGGGAUGGAGAGAGCGACGCGCACUGAGGGCAGCCACAGCCCAGCCCGCCCACCCUCGCCCCGGGUGUGUGAAGACCCGGGAUCCCGGUAGAAGCGCGCGCCCCCGGGUCGCCCCGCUGGGGAAGGAGGUGACACCGGACCCUCCCCGCACAGCCCGCCCCGCCCCCGGGCCCGUCGGUUACUUGAGAACAGCCUGGUGUUCAUGGGACCUGCAGCGGAGGAGAGGAGGGUGAGGCGUCCCGCGCACCCGCACCCCCGCACCCCCGCACCCGGCCCGGCGGCUCCGCGCAGCGCGUCCUGCGCGCCCUACCUGCCAGCGGGUCCCAAAUCCGCGAUUCUGCGCGGAGAAGAGCAGGUGAGCUCCCUGGCGUCCACGCUCCCCGGCCUCCCCCCAUGCCCUCGGGUCCCCCCGCGGCGACCCCAGCUCACCCGGCUCCUGGGGUGCGCCCCGCGCCAGCAGCAGCGCCAGCAGCAGCGUCCUAGCCCCCGCGCCCAUGGCUGCUCUGCACCUGGGCGCCCCCUCCGCUUCCUCCCGCUCUGGCCGGGCCAGGCGCCCCCUGGGGGGAGAACAGGGGUGGGAGCCGCCAAGGCACCCCAGGAGACCCUGUCCUCCCCGGACCUCGCAGGACCAAGGGCUGGCUGGGGACCUCAGGCCUCCCAGCUCCCGGGGUCCCCAGCACACUCCCUGAGACCGCCCAGAACCAGGGACCCCAACAAGCCUUCUGCACCUCAGGCUCCCACGUUGCGGGAAGAUCCUUCAGGUGGCGCAUCUUCAUGCAGUAGGGGCUGUGGCUUGGGACAAGGUGGGGGCCGGGGAGGCAUCCCGCCAGAGCUUCUCCCACCUCCUUGUGGCCACAGGGUUUUGGGCUCCUUGCAAAAUGGCCCAUCUGCCUGAGCACUGAGAAAGCCCACCCCAGGCUGCUCCGCUGGACUGGCCCUUUCCCUCCCAUGACCUGGGUGAGGGGAAGUCUGCCUCCUGGAGGCUCUGAUGAGAGCACACUGCCUCGCCGUUUCCAUCCUCACCGGCAACAGUGGCUGAUGGGCUCUGCCUGCUUCUGGCAGUUAGGACCCUGUGGUUACACUGGGCCCAUCCGGGUGGAGAAGAAAUGAACUGCGAUGCUAACCGCAGAAGGAAGUUCCGAGGGACCGGCCCGGCGGCCCAGAGGUUAAGCUGCUGCUUGCGACUCCAGUAUCCCAUGAAAUGAAACAGACCAAUGGGUGGGGAAAGGAAACCGCCAAUCAAGUUCCAUUUCUGGGGCCUGGCCCCACCCCAGGAAGAAAACCCCGGGUCGCGGAAGCAGCCGUCACCAUUUUCCUGAGCCCUGCGAAGUUUGAGCAAGAUGGUUGCUGGAGCGAUCCCCAUGGUCCAGAUCUUCUUGGGAUUUGGGAGCAUCAGCUUUUCUGGCCCCGUGGCCUGGCUCAUCACUGGCGUGGUCGCUGGUGUCAUUCUGAUGUGGGAGGUGGUCGCUGUUGUCAUUCUGAUGAGGGAGUAUAAAAAACUCCACCACAAAAUGGAGUAACGGGACCCCGCCCACCCUGGAGGGCAGCUCCUGGCAAACAAGCCAGAUUUUUGAAACAGGCAUUAAAAGCAGAAUGACUGAGUA